rfam:Candidatus Nealsonbacteria bacterium RIFOXYB1_FTLL_40_15 rifoxyb1_full_scaffold_188, whole genome shotgun sequence.
GGGCGUGUAGCUCAACUGGUUAGAGUAUUUCGUUUUUAAAACGAAAAGGUUACAGGUUCGAAUCCUAACACGCCAG